CCCCAAUCCGACCCCAACCGCCAAACGAACCCUAGCCCCCUUUCUUCGUCCCCUCAAUCCCUAUAGCCGCUGCACCCCUCCCUCUCCCUUCUGUGCGUGCGCUCGACCAAGGACGUCGUCGUCGCCCUCGGCUGCUCCUCCACGCCGGGGUCUUCCUCCUCUUUCUCCUCGCCUUCCCAUCGGUUGCGCUCAGGUCGUCACCGUCGACGAAUAGGAUAGUGCGGGCCGCUUCCUCCUUUUCCUCCGGCCGGAUCUAUGGCGUGCGACCGCGGAGGCGAGCCUCUCCGGUGGCAGAGGCAAAGGGCGACCACAUGGAUCGAUCCCUGCAGGAGAUAGAAGAUGGGAGAGAGGGAAAGAAGGAAGGAGAGGAGGAAGACCCAGUGGCGGGCGGGAGAGGGUCACCAGCCGGCGCCGGCGAGGUCAAGUGCGACCUGAUGGUCGGCGGCGGCUCGAUCCACUCCUGGAUCUUUAUUGUUCCACUUCCCCACUACCUAACACCGAGCAAGAGGGCUGCCCGAGGAAGAGGGUGAGGACGCAGGGAUUGAAGAGGGUGUUCCCGCAUUCAUCGUCUGGCCAAGUGCAAGGACGAGGACGAGGACGCGGGGUGGAGCAUGUCAUCCCUCUGGUUAUCGCCUUCCUUUCUGCUGCUGGGCUGAGAUGAGGGUUUUCUCCAGCGAUUGUGGUGGCCUGAGUCAGAGAUCGACAGCCAGAUGCUUGUGGCUACCACACAAAACGUGCUCUCUUACUGACCUCGAGGUCCGGCCGCAAUUCCUCUUGUUUUUGCUCCAAGGUAUAGAAGAAGGACCUUUGCUUAAUGGUUGAUUUUCUUCUGCUCACGGCAGCUUGCUCGAGGCAAACAUGCAAGCCUGACGUGCACUGAUGGCGCUGCCGGCAGUAUCAAGGAUGGAAACAGCAAGACACUCUUUUAGGUCAGAGAAACUGGCGGUGCCAAUGAUAACGCCUGAACCUUCGUGACUGCAGCAGCCACCAUCAUGUUGUAGCUCAGCCAGACCACGACCAUCGAUAGGUGACCAUCUUCAUUGAGGUAUAGAAAACAAUCCAUGUAUUGCCAUGCUUAUGUUCUCUAAAGUUUUACAUCCUUCAAUCCCACUCAUUGACAAGACUUAGACAAACACUUUUACUGGUGAUGGUGGGGCCUUUUUUAACUGAGAUGUGCAAGAUGCAUCUUAUCCCCCGAGAAAUAUUGCCUUUAAUUUCUUGAUUUUUUUCCUGGCAUGCUAAUUUAGAGCCAGAUAUGCAUGAUUCAUAAUACACAUUACAGUCAAUUAUCCAUUGGAAUCUUUUGUCCAUAGAGGUGAUUUUGUUUGGACCAUUAGUCUAGGUAGUGACAUUUUGAUCGAUAAGGCACAAGUUUAUUUUCUUUUUGACUCAGGGCUACACUAAAGUAAGAAUCACCGUUAGUGAAAAGAAGGCAUACAAAUCAUGAAGCUUUUGCCUUGGUUGAGUUCCUCAUUUAAUUGUCACUUAUUUAUUUGAAGGAAGUUAUUCAAUUCUCAUCGGGCUUUCCUUAAUGCUUUCCAUUUCUAAAUAAGAAAUUUAAUACUCGAUAUUUUUAAUAUGUGAGGAGGCGGGGGGGGGGGGAGAGAAAAGGGGCUGUCAGGUCGGACUUUUGGUGCGUCUCUGACCAGAGAUAGCUGGAUCCAUCUGAUGCUCUUCCAAACAGUGCAGUGCAGAUUUGCUGACUGGUAAAAGGAAAAGAGAACAUUGGAGGAAAAGGCAAUAUGGCAGAUUCUCUAAGCUUUCUCAAAUGUUUGAAGGAAAAGAUAGUUACAAUUAUUUUUCUCUCGCCUUAUUACAUCUUGAUGUUAAUAGGCGUUGGAAGGUACUAUGGACCACAUUCAAGGUUUACCGAAUUUGCACAAUCCUAUUACAGUUUAUUCUGAUGAAAGAAUUGACCAGUUCUUCCUUGAGUAAAUUAGUAUUGCUGAUGCUACUCCUUUGUGCAUUGUUACAUAGAGUUAUAGUUGUGAAGAUAGUUACAAUUAUUUUUCUCUCGCCUUAUUACAUCUUGAUGUUAAUAGGCGUUGGAAGGUACUAUGGACCACAUUCAAGGUUUACCGAAUUUGCACAAUCCUAUUACAGUUUAUUUUGAUGAAAGAAUUGACCAGUUCUUCCUUGAGUAAAUUAGUAUUGCUGAUGCUACUCCUUUGUGCAUUGUUACAUAGAGUUAUAGUUGUGAAGGUGUGUACGAAUCAACAUAUAAUGCCCACCAUCCUAUUACAGUUUGUUUUGAUGACAAAUUGUGCAGCUCUUACUUGAGUAAAUUGUGCAGAUCUUCCUUGAGUAAAUUAGUAUUGUGGUUACUAAUCCUUUGUGCAUUUGGGUACAGCUCUACUGAAAUACUUCCUCCGUUCCUAAAUAUAAGUCUUUCUAGAGAUUACACUACAAACUACAUACGGAUGUAUAUAGACAUAUUUUAGAGUGUAGAUUCACUCAUUUUGCUCGGUAUAUAGUCCGUAAUAGAAUCUCUAAAAAGACUUAUAUUUAGGAACGGAGGGAGUACUUCAUAUGCCCAUUUUAAACCCAGACCUGACUUUAAAUCAUUUCUGUUCUCCUGAAUUUUAGUCCGCUUCAGCAAUGCUAUGACCUGCCACUCCAUGUAUACAUGAAAAACGACCACAGUUUUGCUGUUGUGUUUUGGUCAAUCAUCUGCGUUUCAAUUCCUACUGAUCUCUCAUCUAUUUGGCAAUUGAUGCCACCCGAAGGGCUGCCAACCCAAGACAACAUCGGUACUAUCCUUCAAUAAAGAAAAUACAUGCAUGCAGAGAAAUCUGAAAUAGUAGGAAAUGUGAAAUCUCACCAGUUGAUCUCUCGCCCAAAUGAGGAACCAUGGAAGAAAAGGGGAUAAACAUGCAUGAUGGAUGCAGUACGUGCUGCUUCAUAUUCUAUUAUGGACCGGCAACACAUAGAAUUAUUUGUGGACUGGGCUAGGUAGCAUAUGGGCCUUUCAAAUAACUAUGCCCUCAUAAAAGUUUGAUACAAACACUGCUAAAAAAUUACAUCUUUGACUGGUCUAUACAUCUUAUACAAAUAUAUUCUUUUUCAAACUCAGAUUUUUCAGCGUGAUAACCAUAUUUUCAACUAAAAAAUGCCAUCUAAACAGGUCUAUACAUUUUUAUACAAAUAUGAUUUUUUUUCAAACUCGGAUUUAUCAGUGUGAUAAACACAUCUUCAAUAUAGCAUGAUUUAACACAUGGGAUUUCUACU